rnacentral:rRNA from 1 species
CGCCCUUAGAGUUUGAUCCUGGCUCAGGAUGAACGUUGGCGGUGUGCCUAAUACAUGCAAGUCGAACGGUGACGAUUUUGUAGCAAUACGAAUGAAAUCAUAGUGGCGAACGGGUGAGUAACGCGUUGGUGAUCUGCCUCGAAGUGUGGAAUAACUUCCCGAAAGGGUAGCUAAUACCGCAUAGUCUCUCAAGGUUUAGAAAAUUGAGAGUAAAGGAUUUAUUCGCUUCGAGAGGAGCCUGCGUCCCAUCAGCUAGUUGGUAGGGUAAUAGCCUACCAAGGCAAUGACGGGUAGGGGACCUGAGAGGGUGGCCCCCCACAUUGGGACUGAGACACGGCCCAGACUCCUACGGGAGGCAGCAGUGGGGAAUAUUGCGCAAUGGAGGGAACUCUGACGCAGCAACGCCGCGUGAAGGAUGAAGGUUUUCGGAUUGUAAACUUCUUUGAUCGGGGACGAAAAUGACGGUACCCGAGGAACAAGCCACGGCUAACUACGUGCCAGCAGCCGCGGUAAUACGUAGGUGGCAAGCGUUGUCCGGAAUUACUGGGUGUAAAGGGCGUGUAGGCGGGAAGGCAAGUCAGAUGUGAAAGCCCAUGGCUUAACUGUGGAACUGCAUCUGAAACUGUUUUUCUUGAGUACUGGAGAGGAAAGUAGAAUUCCUAGUGUAGCGGUGAAAUGCGUAGAGAUUAGGAGGAACACCAGUGGCGAAGGCGGCUUUCUGGACAGUAACUGACGCUGAGGCGCGAAAGCGUGGGGAGCAAACAGGAUUAGAUACCCUGGUAGUCCACGCUGUAAACGAAGGAUAAUAGGUGUGGGAGGGAUCGACCCCUCCCGUGCCGGAGUUAACACCAUAAGUAUCCCACCUGGGGAGUCGGGCCGCAAAGGUGAAACUCAAAGGAAUUGACGGGGGCCCGCACAAGCAGUGGAGUAUGUGGUUUAAUUCGAAGCAACGCGAAGAACCUUACCAGGGCUUGACAUACCAAUGACCGGGUUAGAGAUAACCCUUCCCCUCGGGACAUGUAUCGAGGUGCUGCAUGGUUGUCGUCAGCUCGUGCCGUGAGGUGUCGGCUUAAGUGCCAUAACGAGCGCAACCCUUGUCAUUAGUUGCCAUCAGGUCAAGCUGGGGACUUUAAUGAGACUGCCACCGUAAGGUGUGAGGAAGGGGGGGAUGACGUCAAAUCAGCACGGCCCUUAUGUCCGGGGCGACACACGUGUUACAAUGGGAGGUACAGAGGGCAGCUAUCCGGUGACGGAAUGCUAAUCUCCAAAACCUUUCUCAGUUCGGAUUGGAGUCUGCAACUCGACUCCAUGAAGGUGGAUUCGCUAGUAAUCGCGCAUCAGCCAUGGCGCGGUGAAUACGUUCCCGGGCCUUGCACACACCGCCCGUCAA